GCACAAAGAGAAUAAAGGAGAUAUGAUCUCCUUGACGCAGAGCUUUAUGCACAACAAAAUACCUACCUUUUUUACCUUCCAUAAACGACCAUGUUGACCGAAGUUAUAGCUGACAUGAUGACCCUCGAUAUGUUGUUAGGAAGCCCAAUUUCCUUUAACGUUUUAUCCACAAAUUUCCAGUUGAGCAUGUCGUACACCUUAGAUAAGUCAAA
rnacentral:lncRNA from 1 species